rnacentral:rRNA from 1 species
AUUGAACGCUGGCGGCAUGCCUUACACAUGCAAGUCGAACGGCAGCACGGGAGCAAUCCUGGUGGCGAGUGGCGAACGGGUGAGUAAAGUAUCGGAACGUGCCCAGUCGUGGGGGAUAACGUAGCGAAAGUUACGCUAAUACCGCAUACGAUCUAUGGAUGAAAGCGGGGGAUCGCAAGACCUCGCGCGAUUGGAGCGGCCGAUAUCAGAUUAGGUGGUUGGUGGGGUAAAGGCUCACCAAGCCGACGAUCUGUAGCUGGUCUGAGAGGACGACCAGCAACACUGGGACUGCGACACGGCCCAGACUCCUACGGGAGGCAGCAGUGGGGAAUUUUGGACAAUGGGCGAAAGCCUGAUCCAGCCAUGCCGCGUGCAGGAUGAUGGCCUUCGGGUUGUAAACUGCUUUUGUACGGAACGAAAAGGUUUGGCCUAAUAAGCUGAGCUCAUGACGGUACCGUAAGAAUAAGCACCGGCUAACUACGUGCCAGCAGCCGCCGUAA